rnacentral:rRNA from 1 species
UACGUAGGGUGCGAGCGUUAAUCGGAAUUACUGGGCGUAAAGCGUGCGCAGGCGGUUUUGUAAGCCAGAUGUGAAAUCCCCGGGCUUAACCUGGGAAUGGCAUUUGGGACUGCAAGGCUGGAGUGCGGCAGAGGAGACUGGAAUUCCCGGUGUAGCGGUGAAAUGCGCAGAUAUCGGGAAGAACACCCGUGGCUAAGGCGGCUCUCUAGUACGGUACUGACGCUGAGACGCGAAAGCGUGGGGAGCGAACAGG